rnacentral:rRNA from 1 species
GGAAUUUUGCGCAAUAGGGGAAACCCUGACGCAGCAACGCCGCGUGAGUGAAGAAGGCCUUCGGGUCGUAAAGCUCUGUCAAGUGGGACAAAAUCCUGUGGGUGAAUAGCCCACAGGAGUGAUGGUACUGCUAGAGGAAGCACCGGCUAACUCCGUGCCAGCAGCCGCGGUAAUACGGAGGGUGCAAGCGUUGUUCGGAAUUACUGGGCGUAAAGCGCGUGCAGGCGGUUCGGUAAGUCAGAUGUGAAAGCCCUGGGCUCAACCCAGGAAGUGCAUUUGAAACUGCCGUGCUAGAGUAUGGGAGAGGAGAGUGGAAUUCCCAGUGUAGAGGUGAAAUUCGUAGAUAUUGGGAGGAACACCCGUGGCGAAGGCGACUCUCUGGACCAAUACUGACGCUGAGACGCGAAAGCGUGGGGAGCAAACAGGAUU